CAGGAGUCCCCAUUCACGGGGUUACCGGGCUUUCACUCAUGCUCUUCAUUUCUCUCUUGCCAUCAGCACAGGACAACUCAGAUGGCAGCUCUGGCUCUGGAAAGGAAUUACAUGUCAGGAAUGAAACCAAAAGAUGCAGUUAGAGAAUGGUCAAAAAGGAAGGAUCAAUAAAACCUACAACAAAUAAGCGAAGGAGAAGAAA
rnacentral:lncRNA from 1 species